GUAGCCUAGUCGUUAGAGCGUUCGCUUCGGGUGCUGAUGAUCGUGGGUUCGAUCCCCGGCCAAGUCA